rnacentral:rRNA from 1 species
AACGAACGCUGGCGGCAGGCUUAACACAUGCAAGUCGAGCGCAUCCUUCGGGGUGAGCGGCAGACGGGUGAGUAACGCGUGGGAACGUACCCUUUCCUACGGAAUAGCUCCGGGAAACUGGAAUUAAUACCGUAUACGCCCUUAGGGGGAAAGAUUUAUCGGGGAAGGAUCGGCCCGCGUUGGAUUAGCUAGUUGGUGGGGUAAAGGCCUACCAAGGCGACGAUCCAUAGCUGGUCUGAGAGGAUGAUCAGCCACAUUGGGACUGAGACACGGCCCAAACUCAUACGGGAGGCAGCAGUGGGGAAUAUUGGACAAUGGGCGCAAGCCUGAUCCAGCCAUGCCGCGUGAGUGAUGAAGGCCUUAGGGUUGUAAAGCUCUAUCAGUAGGGAAGAUAAUGACGGUACCUACAGAAGAAGCCCCGGCUAACUUCGGGCCAGCCGCCGCCGUAA